GAAAUGCGAUAAGUAGUGUGAAUUGCAGAAUUCAGUGAAUCAUCGAAUCUUUGAACGCACACUGCGCCCUUUGGUAUUCCAAAGGGCAUGCCUGUUCGAGCGUCAUUUGUACCCUCAAGCUUUGCUUGGUGUUGGGCGUCUUGUCUCCAGUUCGCUGGGGACUCGCCUUAAAGUUAUUGGCAGCCGGCCUACUGGUUUCGGAGCGCAGCACAAGUCGCGCUCUCUUCCAGCCAAGGUCAGCAUCCACAAAGCCUUUUUUCAACUUUUGACCUCGGAUCAGGUAGGGAUACCCGCUGAACUUAAGC
rnacentral:misc_RNA from 1 species